rnacentral:lncRNA from 1 species
GGCGCAGGAAGGGCUCCGGAUCAAGGGCUUCCUUCCCCCUCCUGCUCCGCCGCCAUGAAGCGCUUCCCAGCUGUCCUGGUCCUCCUCCUCCUGGGAGCCCUCCUGGCCCCGGCCGAGGCUUCUCUGGGCCCUGAAAAGACCCCCGAGGAAGCUCUUAAUCCUUGUUCUAGCCGCUGCUGCCUCGUAUAUACCACGAGGCCAAUUCCGAAAAACCUCGUGAAAUCCUGUGAACGUGCACCCGGCUGCUGUGCACAGCCAGCAUAUAUAUUUUACAGCAAAAAGGGCAAACCGGUCUGCGGGAACCCCAGCGAAAAAUGGGCCCAGCACCUGGCUCAGGAUUUCAAAUGCAAGUGACAGGAUCCCCUCCGCCACCCAAGGAGAAGAGAAAGCAGAGCGGAAGGUGUUCUGCGUCCCCUCUAUUGCCCCUCUGAACGUGAUGCCAUAAUAAAGGGUUUCUUUGAGCAUGUG